GAUGAACGCUGACAGAAUGCUUAACACAUGCAAGUCAACUUGAACUUCGGUUUGGGUGGCGGACGGGUGAGUAACGCGUAAAGAACUUGCCUCACAGAUAGGGACAACAUUUGGAAACGAAUGCUAAUACCUGAUAUUAUGAUUAUAUGGCAUCGUAUAAUUAUGAAAGCUAUAUGCGCUGUGAGAGAGCUUUGCGUCCCAUUAGCUAGUUGGAGAGGUAACGGCUCACCAAGGCGAUGAUGGGUAGCCGGCCUGAGAGGGUGAUCGGCCACAAGGGGACUGAGACACGGCCCUUACUCCUACGGGAGGCAGCAGUGGGGAAUAUUGGACAAUGGACCAAGAGUCUGAUCCAGCAAUUCUGUGUGCACGAUGAAGUUUUUCGGAAUGUAAAGUGCUUUCAGUUGGGAAGAAAAAAAUGACGGUACCGACAGAAGAAGUGACGGCUAAAUACGUG
rnacentral:rRNA from 1 species